ACUCUUCCCUGGCAGGGGAGAUGCCGUGGUCAUGAAGAUAGUUUUUGCAUGGCAAGGCUUAGCCGACACACUCACGGUGUGCUGACCCUGACAACUUCCCCAAACAUGGGAAACUCAGCUGAUUAAUUUGUGGUAGUGGAGGAUUAUAUUUGCACUCUCUCCUG
rnacentral:snRNA from 1 species